UAUUAAGCUUUUUUUUCCUUAUAAAAUAUUCACAAUUUGCAAGAUUCAAACAAUAUCAGAUUCAAGAUUAAUACCAGAAUUAUUGAUUCUAAAUAUAUAUUAUAAAUAAACAAUUAAAGGGAAAGCAUAUUUAUAAAAUUUUAUUAAGAUCUUGCAAUGUAUAACAUAAAUCUUAAUUUCAAAAUAUUUGAUACUCAUCUAUCAAAGAAAGAACAAACACAAUUUCAAAUGAUUUCUAAGAUUAAAUAAUUUGAUUAUUUUAUUGAGAUACAAAAAGAAAAGUUGAUGAUUAUCGAUUUCAAAAAAAAAAGAAAAAGAAGAAAAACAAUUCUAAACUAUUAUGAAUUCUAUUUUGCAGGUGAUGAAUCGUUACAUGUUUGUAGUGGAAUCUGUAGAAAGUUAGCGAGACGGGUGUCCCGACUGCGUAGCACUACUUCUCAUAUUAUUUGUCGUUAAGUGCAUGAAAGCUUUUUUCGAGGGCUUAAUACAAGCUCUCGGUUAAUAGCGGAGCAUUAUUGUGUUCACGGGAACACGAGUGCGGCACAGCUUAGAGUCGCUCUCUCAGUCUCCUUUCUCUCUUCUCUCUUCUCUUCGGCACUAUACGAAAAACGCAGGCAGCCCAACCUUUUAUGGAUUCUUUGUCGCGACGCGAUUAUGUACAGCCAGUCUUCUCGUCGCCACCUCUUUUUCCUGCCUUUUUCUUAUGUAUUUAUACACACGAAUUUCGCUGAAACGCGCGUAUUUCCUUUUAAAGCGGCCUCGAUGCAGUCUUACUGAUGCACGCUCGGCUGCGACCAAUUUUUACCAACGCUGACAAGAGACAAUGCUUUUGUGCGCGAAAUGCAUCCUGGAUGGGAAGGGAGAAACGUAUGAACAUUGAUGAUUGAACAAUCGCAUUGUAUGUAUAUGAAUAAAUGACAAAAAUCCGAUUAGCACGAUUAAUUUAUACGUUUUGAACAAUCAGCUCAAAUUAUUAAUAUGAUUAACAUUAAUAUUAUCUUUCAAAUUAUAUAUUUUGUACAUAUACAUACAUUUUCUAAAUUAUGUAACUAACAUAAACUGACGAUGAUUUGAUUUGAUAAUAAACGUUCAAGUUGAUCCUCUAAUUGUUCAAUUGUAAACUGUUGUAAUAUCUUGGUAAACAGCGUGGAGAGGUAGGAAAACGAGCAGUGCAAGCUCUCGGUUUACCACGGCCAAUUCAAUGACUAUAGUAUACUGUACAAAGCACAUUACCUGCAACAAUUGCAUUAUCCGCCAGACUAUGUAUCGUGUUGGUACCACAUCCACAUUAGAUUUGAAGAUGCUUCGGCUUAAUGAAUUUUAUUGAUGAUUUUGGAAUGGCCUCUAGUUAAACAUUUGUACACAUGUACACAAUUUUCACGAGAAAGAAAAUUCGUGCAAUAUAGAAGUAUUCCAGAAUAAUUUAAUCCGAUAGAAAUUUUUAUCGCUUUCAUUAUAAUCAAACCUAACUUACUAUUCUUGGAUUAUUAUUUUGUAAUAUUAAAAAAAAGAAAACAAUUCACCAUUCGAUGCACAUAUAUCGAAAGACAGAUUAAAAAUUGACACAAGGAUUUACAAAAGGAAGUCGACUCGAUACACAAAUGAAGAAGAGAAAUUGUCUGAAACAGGUAUCACCCACAGGAAGAGAGGAAAUUAAUCGUGAGCCCGUUACGAUGAGAUACGCGAAACACACACACAGGGGUACGAGAGAUAGCAGUAAUGCGAGACACAGAGCACGAGGGGAAGGAGCAGAGAACAUUUUACAGAAGAAACGUGCCCGCCAGACGAUCGACGGGAGGAGAGAAGAAAAAAAGGAGGGGGUGUUUGGGCGAAAGGACUCAAGGAAUCGUCGCACGUAUCUGGCAGCGGAAGAUGAAACGGUAACGAGUGUAGUUCACGGUAACUAAAUAUUCGCGGGAUCGCAUCGCAGGGGGCCGCAGGGUGGGAAAAAGGGGGAGGCGAAUGCUUUCGCCGCGGCCCUAUUCGACGUCGCCAUGCUGUGUGUAUGCAAUCGUCGUCGCCGCUCGUGGAGACAAUUUAUUCUCACGGUUUCGCGCGCAAUUUGCCACGGGCACGUGUAACGAGGAUAACGAGAAUCAUCGAAUGAAAAGCCAACGUCGCGGCUGCAAAUUGCAUUUCACGCGACAUUUGCUAUAACACCUGCCGCGAAUAUUUCUAGCCGGCCUCCUCCUCCUCCUCCUCCUCCCACGAAUGCCUUCUUCCUUUUUUCGAAUAUCGAAAGGCAGAUCAAGCGUUCGAUACGUUUGUUUCAUUCCUUUCCUUCUCUUUUAUAUCUUAUCGUUCCUUACACGCAUCUUCUAUCGAUUUAUUUCGUCGAUUAUUGGAUAACCUUGUCUGAUUAUUAGAAGAGGAAUAGUUGUUGAAUCGUCGAAGUUACUAUUAAUAUAUCAUAACAGUUGCUUUUUUAUGGAACAAUUUCAACGAUUGAGAGAAAUGGAUAUCAACUUGUUUCAUGAAUUUUUAUCAAUGUAACAAGUUGUUACAGGAUAAAAAAAGGGAGAACCGUUGUUUCAUACAGAAACGGAUGAUAUAUCGUUCAAAGUUUGUUACUUUCUUCGAUUCCUCUUUCCCAGGACAAGCAUAAACGGUUUAAAUAAUUUGCUUCAACCUGUUUGAAUAACACACUGGGAGAAUGAAAUUUCCAAUUAACUUUUAAUUAAAUUUUUCUAAUCGAUUAUCAUCGUUUGCACGCCACUACGUGGAGGAACAAUUAACCAGAACAUUCCCAACAGAAGCGGGAAGUUAUUUCACUGUUCUUACCAAAGUAGGGAGGGGGAGGAAUGAAAGAAAGAAAAGAAAGAAAGAAAGAAAGAAAGAAAAAAAAGAGAAGGAAGGAGGGAACGAUUAAUGCUCGCGCCAAGUUUUUAUUGCGGGAAUUCAAUUUCCAAAAUAAACAUUUGCGAAGAGAACAACUGUUGACAAGUCCAUUCUCGCGCGAGUUUCAACAUUUACGCCGAACGUUCCUCGACAUUUCGCCUCAUAUAUUUCGCCGUUUCCACCGUUUCAUCGGCAACGAUCGAUACCACGGCUAUUUUUCCUCCCGUUCCGAGUCAACUGCAUCGACACUCGCAUGAAAAAACAAAUUAAAUCUCCUAGACAAGAAUUUUCUUCGGUUGAAAAUAUAGAGCGAGAAAAGAGAGAAGGAAAAUGAACUUAAAUAAGAUAAAAAAAAAAAAAAAAGACAAUUGAAACCAUUAUAGACGGAGAUAUGAGCUGGCGAUCCGCCUCAUUUUUGAAAGCCGGAAAAGAAAGUGGCCGCGACAAGGCUGUUCAAAUAUUUGAAUAAUUUUCUCUCGGUUGCGGAAGAGCUUUAUAGUGAAAUUACCGACUCUAGAUAUAAAAAAAAAAAAUCGUAAAAGGAGUAAACGAGUUUCAGGAAAUGAAAUAUAAAACUCCCCCUCGUGAUAUUUAGUUAUGAUAUCGUUCGACGAAACAGGAUCAUAGAUUAAUCAAAAAAAAAAAAAAGAAAAAAGAAGAAUUUAUUCAAUAUUCAAUUUAUAGAAGCAAGUAUCGACGAAUGACCAAGCAUCGACGCUUGAAUUUUUAUCGGUAAUAAAAAAAUAGAUGAAGCUAUAAAAAAGCUUCUUGUAUUUAUGAUCAUAUACGAGCUAUAUAUAUAUAUCUAUAUCAAUUCUUUGUGAAGAUGCGACGAAAGAUGCAGGAAGAAGUAAUUUGUCAUUCUUUCCACAAACCUUUCCUAUUAAAUUAACUCUUAAUUGUCUUUCUAUUUACACUCCAACCGGUCGAAAACUGGUUUUCAUCGGAUGACAAGUACGAUAAUACGAUUUCGAAAUUGCACGAAGGAGCCGAACUCUCCCCUCAGCUGUGCAACGGAAGCUGCGACGACGACGACGGGGGGGGAGGGGAGGGGAGGGCCGAUAGAAGAAUGGUGUAGCCGCAACACACCGGUGUAGGUUCGCAUCGCGGCUAAGUGACGGGGGUGCAGGAUGCCUGGGGGGAUGGAGAAUGGAUGCGGAUCGCGGCUGUGAAAGAGAAUGACGCAGUGGCGGGCGGUAGCAACCACAUAAGCGCGAAGAUGAAGAAGCAAUUAUUCUAAUGGAGGCUUUGGGAGGAUUGUAGCCGGGACAAGUGAGGUCCGACUUAAUCGGUUUACGUUCUUUGGGAGUUGGAAAAACCCCCCCGGAACCGGUAGAAAGAUUUACCGCCGCUUGAAAUUCUGCAGCUUUAUACGUGUAACACCCGAAGAAUUUUCCAAACCGAUCGUUAAGAAAGAACUUUUUCGUUUUUCGAAAGGAAAAAAAAUAUUGCAAUCUUAUCAAUCGAUUUUUUUAUCAAUCGAAUCUCAUUCUACGAGAGGAUGAGAUUCGAUAAUUCUUGCCAAAUAUCUCAUCGCGUUUUGCAAAUAAUAUAUUUUUCAUUUUGAGAUAAAUAUAAGAGUAUCGUUUGAUCUUUUAAUAAUACUCUAAAAAAGAAAAGAAAAGAAGAGAUAAAUUCAAUGGUAAAUUGUCUCCUGAAAAAUUGGAAAGGAUAAGAGUUUUUUUCUUUUUUAGAAA